AGAGUUUGAUCAUGGCUCAGGAUGAACGCUGGCGGCGUGCUUAACACAUGCAAGUCGAACGGAGAGCCAAUGACGGAGUUUUCGGACAACGGAUUUGGUUUCUUAGUGGCGGACGGGUGAGUAACGCGUGAGCAACCUGCCUUGGAGUGGGGAAUAACAGCUGGUAACAGUUGCUAAUACCGCAUAAUGCAGCGAGGGGACAUCCUCUUGCUGCCAAAGAUUUAUCGCUCUGAGAUGGACUCGCGUCUGAUUAGCUGGUUGGCGGGGUAACGGCCCACCAAGGCGACGUUCAGUAGCCGGACUGAGAGGUUGACCGGCCACAUUGGGACUGAGAUACGGCCCAGACUCCUACGGGAGGCAGCAGUGGGGAAUAUUGGGCAAUGGGCGAAAGCCUGACCCAGCAACGCCGCGUGAAGGAAGAAGGCCCUCGGGUUGUAAACUUCUUUUAUCAGGGACGAAACAAAUGACGGUACCUGAUGAAUAAGCCGCGGCU
rnacentral:rRNA from 1 species